CUGUUUACGAUUGUUUUAACUUGAUUUGUGUUCUUCUUUGAAGGAAUUCAGCGUUCCUUACACAUUUCAAAUACAUUCUUAUAAAAAAGCAAUACUACAACUUGGCAGGGAAGGAAAAUAUAUUAUUACAUAUUACCUAUGGGGAGGAUUCGUAUUUCAGGUUAUUCUAAGAAACUGACAUAACCCUUUUGAGUGAUAAGUAGAUCAAAUAUCUAAUUAACAAAGCUAAGCUAACAAAAGGAAUGUCAAGGCAAAGAGCAAUGCUGACUGAAACACUGAGUCGAUUAUCCCUUUGUAUCUAGGGCCCCAAAAGCAUUCAAGACAGACUUAAAAUAGAGAUCAAGGAGAAAUUCUAGAUGAAACAGAAAACACCAAUCCUCCUUUCUGUAGGUUGUUUUCAAGUAAAACAAGUCAAAAAAAGAAGGUUAAGCAAACUGACAGAUAUUUACUGAAUAUUCACUGUAGGUACAAGUAUUUUUGUUUUGAACUGUUAUUUAUUUUCAAAGAUACAUUUAUUAAAAAACUUCUGCAAAUAAAAGAUACAAUAAACAAAGUUAAAAACCAGAUGGGGGCACAAAAUAUUUGCAACGUAUGCAACAAAAGGUUAACACCGACAGUAAAUUAAGCUCUCUUACAAACAAAUAAGGAGAAGACAGUCAACCCAACGGGGAAAAUGGAUGAAGGACAUGAAGAAGCAAUUCAGAGGAGAUAUAAAAAUGGCCAACGAGUGUACAAAAUGAUGUUCAAACUCCUUAGUAAUCAAUAAAAUGCUUUUCCUUCUUGCCUUUGAAAUUGGUAAAAAUGAGAGUGUGGGGAAACGGUUUGUGGGAAUGUAAAACAAUGGCUUUUAGGAGGGCAAUUUCGUCAUCUAUGGAAAAUUUUAAAGCACAUCAACUCUAUUUCCAGCACUGUAUCCCACAGAAAUAUUUGCCUAAGUUCUCAAAGAUGUUUGUGGCUAUACUAUUUGCAAGGGUAAACAAAUAAAAAAAAUCCAAAUGAGCAUUAAGAAUAAUGAGUUCAUUUAUGUGUACUGACAUGAGAAGACACCCAUGACACAGUGUCAAGUGAAAAAAUUAAGGGGCAGAAAAAUUUGUAUACUUUAACUCCACUUUUGUUAAAAACAAAACAAAACAAAAUCAAAACAACAAACUUGUGUAAGCGGGGAAAAAGUUUGGAAGGUUAUGCACAGCAAACUAACAAUAAACUUGUAACAGAGAUUAUAUCCAGAAAACAGAAUUAGCAGGCAGGAAGAAGAUGGUGGAGGCCCUUGCUUUUUACUUUAAAUGCUUUUGUUCUGACUUUUAAAUAACAAGCAUGUAUUAUUUCUGUAAUUAAAAAGUUCAAAAAACCCAAUACAGAAGGCAUUUAUAUGCUUAUUGCAGAAUAUCUGAAAAUAUAGGAAACGGAAAAAAGAAAAUUAAAAUUCUGACUAAUCCCACCAUCUUAAUUUACUUAUGUGUGGGGAACAGAAAGAGGCAAUGAAUAACUACAAACGAACAUAACAUUGGCAAGUGUGGUUGCAAUAAACGCCAAUAUCACGGGGGUACUGAUUUCUGAUCCUGUUUCAAGGUUGUAUCCUGUAUCUGCGGCAGGGAGUGGAUCUAUUUUUGUCUCCCACCAUCUCGUGUAACAAAUGUAUCAGGAAGGCAGUAACGUGGUAACUGAACAAGAGCAAACAAACACAGUGUAUCUGAGAAUGUCGCUACUGAUGAAUUUUUUCACAAUCUUCAGGUUUUUAAAGAUGCUUUCUGAAAUGAUGCUUGUUGACGAGAGGUGACGACAUCUGCCGGCGAGCGCUCUGUGGGGCUUGAAGUUAUUUCUACCAGAGCGUCUUCAGCGUGCGUUCCAGAUGCAGGCCUGGCGAGCUCCGGUUUCCCAGGGCCAGGCUGGCUGAAAACUAUAUCCAGAGCACUCUGUGACACAGAGGAGAGUCCUGGCAGGACCCACCAGGAAGGACAAAAAGAAUAAUAUUCCAAGAUGUGUAUUGUGAAGUGUCCCCUCUGUUGUUCACUGAACUGGUAAGUAUAUUUAGCAGCAAAAUCAUUGCAGCUACUACUGCUGGGAGAGGACAGAGUUCUGAGAUGUCCUUCUGAUCAGACGCUAUGUCUUUCUAUCUGGGCAAACAGGAUGGAGGGUAGAAAAAAAAGGGGAUCUUGAGUCAAAAGGCCUGGGCUUCAGAGGUUACUGAAGGUUACCACUUUGUACAGUCACUAUGAAGCCUUGAGAAAGAGACUUAACUUCUUAGUCGUCUCAUCUGUAGAAUGGGUAUAAUAAUAUUUAAUGACCUGAAAAUUAAAGCCAUGUCUGUAGAGUUGCGGAAAAAAGUCAUCUCAGAGUAGGGUCAUUAGGUCAACAGCUUGCUGGGAACAGGAAACUGAACCUGCACUUCAACUGUAGCUCUGAAAAGGGGCUAUGACCACUAGAAAAGCCAAUAGUCUACUAAACUAAGGGUGAUCCAAUUUCUUGGUCUACUGAAAAACAUUUGGACAGACCUUGCCUUAAAAGGUAAGGAAAAAACAACAAGAGGGAGCCUAUGAAUAGCACUCUAGAACCUGGGAACUGAAUCCAGAGGACUCAGAAGAAAGUACACCUCUGAAAAUUAUCAGCAGAAAAAUCCAGAAAAAUAUUUCAGAAAGCUAUUUAACAUCCUUAAUAGGAACAGAAAAUCUUAAAGAUAAACCAACUGAAGCUAAAAUGCACAAGAAUGAGCUCGAUUAAAAGAGAAAUAAAUGAUAUUAGAGGAUUUCAAGGAAACUAAAAUGCUACAGAAAAAUUAAAAUCCACAAUGGAGGUAAUACAGAAUAGAACUGAUGUGGAAAAAUCAAAUCAAUGAUUGGAGGAAAUCAAAUAAAUGAUAUGGAGGAUAAAUGUGAGGAGUUCUCCUAGAAUGCAACAGGAGUGAUAAAUACAAGACCAUUCUUUUCAUUUAAAAGAAUGACAGGAAAGAUAUGGAGGACAUAAACCUACAAUACAGCCCAUAGAUAACUGGUAUUUCUCAAGGACAAAACCAGAACAAAUGAAAUAGAGCUGAUAAAUAGGUAGAAUAGAAUAAAACUUGCCUGUGUCAAGAAAGAUGUGCAUGUACAACAUCACAUUCAAGGAAAAAUCAGUAAAAAGUAACCUAGAUACAUGCUAAGAAAAUUUCUGUAUUACAAGGAUUAAAAAAUUCUACAAGCAAUCUGAUGGGGGGAAAAAGCUACUAUUAAAAAAAAAAAGGCUAACCUUAGUCUUUUCCACUGUAGCAUUAAAUGCCAAAAGACUAGAGAAUGAUGUCUACAGGGUUUUGAGGGGAAGACUGUGAUGAAGGAACUAAAUCCCUUUCAUUUCAGACUGUUGGUUAUUCCCCACUACACCCUCCUUUUCUUCUAUGGGAACCUAGUCACCCAGCUAAGGACUACAUUUCCCAGCCUUCCUUGCAUGCCACGGUGUGGCCAUGUGACCAGGUCCUGGCCAAUGGGAUCUGAGAAGAAGUAAACGGUGCGAUUUCAUCUAUGCUCUUAAAAAAAAGGAUCAGGCCCCUCAUUUUCCCUUCUCCCUAUCCCGCUUGCUGGAAUUUGAACUGGGUGUUGGGGGAGCUUUCAUAGACCCAUGAGAUGGAAGUUCCAAGUUGAUGAUGGCUUGGGCCGGUAAAGUGGGGAGCUGUCCUGUCAGCCCUGGACUGCUUGCUGAGACUGUUAUGUGAAAGAGAAAUGAACUGUUGUUUAGUUUAAACUACCAUUUUGGCUUUUGUUUUAACUUGUACACCCUGCUAGAAUAUGGCUUAUUGGGAAGGGACAAGAAAGACCUCUUGACUAUUCACCAGUUCCUAAAAUAUUUCCAACAAUAUAUCUUUCUUGAAAAAAUGAUUGGAAUAGAGAUGAGACAAAAUUAAGAACUCAAGAAACGUAAAGUUAGGGUACAAAAUGACUGGUGAUAAAUAUGAAACCAGUUAAAAUAGAUAUAAGUUCUAAGUUGUUGGAAAUGUGGCUUUGAUAAAAGUUUUUUAAGUCUUCUUAAGAGAAGUUGUAUAAUAUAAAAAAUAAUUUAAUAUAACAAUAAUCAGAAAAAACCCCCACAGAAUAUACUAACAAAACCGAGGGAGUGAUGGUGAGGAAGGGAAAGCUCACAUGCUGCAUACUCCUAUACACGGGUUUCAAAAGAGACUGUUUCAUUCCUGAGCCAGACAAUUAGAAAAACGUAGGUGUAAGAAUGUGUUUUUAAAAACAACAACUUCUUGAAGGUAAACAAUUAAAAGAAUAUUGAAGAGCAAAAUUUCAACAAAAGACAGAAGAAAGUAGCAAGGAACCAGAAAGCAUAGAACAAGGCAAGAAAUGAUAUGUUAUUAAAAUUAAAUGUGAUAAACUCCACUAUAAGAAAAUUCUCAGAGUGGGUAAAAUAAUUAGAUCUAAUUAUGUGAAAUUUAAUAGGGACACACUUACAACAAAGUGUCACGAAAUUUUUAAAGGACCAUACAUACAUAAAUGUAAGGCAACCCCCAAAUAAGGCGAUCUCCUCUUUUCUCAAUGAGGUUUUUAAAAAGUUAUUUUGGGGCAAAUAACUACAUAAACUUGAAGAAUAUAGGUGAAACAGUCAAACGUCCACUUAUUUAAUUUAGUAAUUUAGUUGUAGAAAGGCAUAUUUAAAAUCACGUUAUAUAAAGUAGUAUAUUAAUUUAGAAGCAUUGCUCUCAUGAAACUCACGUUUCAUGAUAUGGCUUUAUUCAAGCUUUUCACAGUGUCUUCAACACUAUUGCUUUCAUUUUAGUCAGAACAAUUUUUGGAGUUUUUUAACAGUUUUCCAGAAUAUGUCAUCUUUUAUUCCAUCGAACACAACCACUAAACACUUUUUCUCCAACUUAAAAGUACCAUUUACAAAGCAGCCAGAAAAGCUGAUUUUUACAUUUGUUCUUUAGAUAUAUAUUCAUGUCUCUACAACCACCACUUUCUAAAUUGCUCUUUUAAGGGAUACUUAAAGGCUUGUUGACAAGGACAUCUAAAACUUGAAGUUGUGAGGUCACACCACUAACAAUAAUCACUAGAUCCACUUUAAAUUUGUCUCUUUUUUCACUCAUUCUGUCAGAUGAUCUCUAUAGUAGUCAUCCAUCAAUUAUAUUGAUUGAGGUCAUUUCAGGCUAAUGCAUCUUCCCCAAAUAGUAUUUAUUUUUCAAAUUAAAAAAAAAUGAGAGAGAAAGCCACAAUCUGAAAGACUUUGCAAGGACUUUUUAAGAAGACUUUUUUUUAAAAAGAAGCUCCAGAGUCUUCUUUAAGAAGUCUCUCUUUUUCUUGGGAAGAAAACCUUGUCUUUUAUUUGGGCGUACGUGAAAAGAAGAUGGCCAAAGACAUAUCAAGAAAAUAAGUAUAUAUAAACUGAAAGCAAAGACUGAAAUAUUAAGGUCAGACAAAAUAGAAGGCAAGGAAUAUUUAUUGGGUGAGUGUUAUGAUGACACAUUUCAGCAUUAAUUCAGUCUG